rnacentral:rRNA from 1 species
AAAGAGUUGGCAAAUCCGCUCUUCAAUCUGAAGACGUGAUGUGGACUGAAAAUAAGUAGGGAAGCACGUGAGCUGACUGUCAAGAAAAGCCGCUAUUGUUUGCAGGAUACCCGUACCGUAAACCGACACAGGUGGAUGAGGAGAGAAUCCUAAGGCCGACGGGAGAAGCAUUGUUAAGGAACUCGGCAAAAUGACUCCGUAACUUCGGGAGAAGGAGUGCCAGUAAGAUGGCCGCAGAGAAUUGGCCCAAGCAACUGUUUAGCAAAAACACAGGUCCAUGCAAAACCGAAAGGUGAGGUAUAUGGGCUGACGCCUGCCCGGUGCUGGAAGGUUAAGGGGAGAGGUUAGCGCAAGCGAAGCUUUGAACUUAAGCCCCAGUAAACGGCGGCCGUAACUAUAACGGUCCUAAGGUAGCGAAAUUCCUUGUCGGGUAAGUUCCGACCCGCACGAAAGGCGUAAUGAUUUGGGCACUGUCUCAACAACGCACCCGGUGAAAUUGAAAUACCAGUGAAGAUGCUGGUUACCUGCGCCAGGACGGAAAGACCCCAUGGAGCUUUACUCCAGCUUGAUACUGGGAUUCGGUAUUGCAUGUACAGGAUAGGUGGGAGGCUAGGAAAUGGUAACGCCAGUUGCCAUGGAGCCAAUGUUGGGAUACCACCCUUGCAGUACUGGGUUUCUAACCAGCAGCCGUGAUCCGGCUGGGGGACAAUGUCAGGUGGGGAGUUUGACUGGGGCGGUCGCCUCCGAAAGGGUAUCGGAGGCGCUCAAAGGUUCCCUCAGUAUGGUUGGAAACCAUUCGAAGAGUGCAAAGGCAGAAGGGAGCUUGACUGCGACACCGACGGGUGGAGCAGGUACGAAAGUAGGACUUAGUGAUCCGGUGGUAUAAAGUGGGAUUGCCAUCGCUCAACGGAUAAAAGCUACCCUGGGAUAACAGGCUUAUCACUCCCAAGAGUUCACAUCGACGGAGUGGUUUGGCACCUCGAUGUCGGCUCAUCGCAUCCUGGGGCUGAAGUAGGUCCCAAGGGUUGGGCUGUUCGCCCAUUAAAGUGGUACGCGAGCUGGGUUCAGAACGUCGUGAGACAGUUCGGUCCCUAUCCGGCGUGGGCGUAAGAUAUUUGAGAGGAGCUGUCCUUAGUACGAGAGGACCGGGAUGGACUGGCCGCUGGUGUAUCUGUUGUCUUACCAAAGGCAUAGCAGAGUAGCCAAGCCGGGAAGGGAUAAACGCUGAAGGCAUCUAAGCGUGAAGCCCCCCUCAAGAUGAGAUAUCUCAUAACGUCAAGUUAGUAAGACCCCUUGAAGACGACGAGGUAGAUAGGGCAGAGGUGGAAGUGUGGUAACACAUGGAGCUGACUGUUACUAAUAGGUCGAGGGCAUAACU